rnacentral:lncRNA from 1 species
CUUCUUGACUCAGAGGCUGCUAGCAUGUGGAAAGCUUCAAUGCUCCUCUAGACGUACACUGACACCUGAGGGCCUGGGAACGCUCUCAGUUUUCUGUGUGUUCCCUGCCCUGAACAGCAGGCCCCACUCUGCACGAGAUGUCAGGUUAGAUUGUUUGUUAUGCUGGGAGCACCAAGGGCUGCAAGUCGCUGUAGUCCUAAGACACUUCUCCAAAGUAAAGCUGGGAGUGGCAAAAAGAAGACACAGUAUGGGGACUGGAACUACUCUAUCAGGAAAGACAUGGGGAACAAGGCUGGAGAGGUGGGCUGGGGCAAGUAGUGAAGGGCCUUAUUAAGUUACAGUAAGAAACUUGGAUAGUCAGGCAGGGUGGCACACACUUGUGAUCCCAGCAUGCAGGAGGCAGAGGCAGGAGAACUGCAGAAAGAUGGAGGCCAGCCUGGGUUACACAGUGAUAUUUUAUCUCAAAAACCAAACCAAACCAAAAAACAUGGGGCUGGAAAUGUAACCCAGUGAGGGAGUGCUUAGCAGGCUCAAGGCUCUAGAUUCAAUUCCCAGCACUGAAAAAUGAAGUUAAAGGAGAAAGAAAAGAGACAAACCUCUAGGUAGAGGUUUUGGUUGGUUAUACAGAGUAUCAGAUCUGGGUGGGAAAACAUGACUCAGCAGUGUAGGAAGAGACUGUAGUGGGCUAGAGUUCUCUGGAAGAUGACUUAGCAGAUAGUCUGCAGGGCAGUGGAAGGCUCUGACAGUAAACCCAGCAGGACCUGUCACUAUCCUUGGGU